UCUAAACAGAUAUAUGUUAGUCAGUAGAAGAGAAAAGUUUACAAAACCAGAAAUCUUAGAAAAUAAUGAGAGCAAGGAAAGAUUGACUCCACUUCACCACUGAAAAAAGAAAUUCAGUCUUGAAGUAAGUUCUUCCUUGAAGAGCAAGAGAACAAUCUGUUCUUGCUGUGCAUGAUGAAAAGGACAAGAGCAGAUGGUCUAUCAUGCAGCAAAGAGGAAUAAGCAUCUUCUCUUCUUCUACCAUGAACAUUCAUUGUGGGAUUCAUCGAAACACACAGCAAAGACCUUUGACAUCUAAAAUAGCACAAAUAAGUAAUAUGAAGUCACCUUGGAAGAAACUGGAAAGUUUGAAGCUAAUUCAAUAAAAAUAUGAAAUGAUUUUUCUGAGUAUCUAAAAGCCACACUGAGCUCUGGAAACAAGAUGGAAUGCUUGAAUUCUUUGUAUUCUCAGACACCCAAUGCCCUGAAAUAGAAACAUGAAUUAUACCACUUGAAAUCUGAGGCAUUUUUAUCAAUGGUCCUGCCAGAAGCGUGCUCCAGCACAGGCUUUCCAUGGAGUCACAGCCUCCUUCAGGUUCAUCUGUCUGCUCCAGCAUGAGAUUCUUCACAGGCUGCAGUCAAAUAUCUGCUCCACUGUUAACCUUCAAGGGCUGAAGGUGGGUGGCCUGUCUUCACCACAAGCUGCUGGGGAAAUCUCCCCUCUAGAGCCUGAAGCACUGCUUCAUCCUCCUCCUUCACUGUUCCAGGUGUCUGCAGAGGUGCUUCACAUAUUUGUAAUUCUCUCUCUAGCUUCAAUUGCACGUUUGUUGUUUUGGGUAAUACGUUAUCCCAGAGGGGCUGUCACCAUCACUGAUGGUCUCAGCCUUGGCCAGCAGUGGGUCUGUUUUUGGAGCUGGC